rnacentral:rRNA from 1 species
UGAAUACGAGACGCUACGGCGUCGAAGCAGUCGAUGUCAUACUUCCAAGAAAAGCUUGCAAUGUCAUAAACAAAUAAUGCCUGUACCAUAACCGACACAGGUGGGUAGGUAGAGUAUACUAAGGGGCGCGAGAUAACUCUCUCUAAGGAACUCGGCAAAAUGACUCCGUAACUUCGGGAGAAGGAGUGCCUUACUUAUAAGGUUGCAAUAACAAGAUCCAAGCAACUGUUUAUCAAAAACACAGGUCUCCGCUAAGUCGUAAGACGAUGUAUGGGGGCUGACGCCUGCCCAGUGCCAGAAGGUUAAAGAAGUUGGUUAGCAUCCGCGAAGCUGAUAGCUGAAGCCCUGGUGAACGGCGGCCGUAACUAUAACGGUCCUAAGGUAGCGAAAUUCCUUGUCGGGUAAGUUCCGACCCGCACGAAAGGCGUAAUGAUUUGGAUACUGUCUCGGAGAGGGACUCGGUGAAAUAGACUUGUCUGUGAAGAUGCGGACUACCUGCACCUGGACAGAAAGACCCUAUGAAGCUUUACUGUAACUUGAAAUUGUAAUUGGACUUUAUUUGCGCAGUAUAGGUGGGAGGCGUUGAGAAUAUUCUUGCGGGAAUAUUGGAGCCAUCAGUGAGAUACCACUCUUGUAAUGUUAGAUUUCUAACUUUGCAUCAUUAUCUGGUCAAAGAACAGUUUCAGGCGGGCAGUUUGACUGGGGCGGUCGCCUCCCAAACGGUAACGGAGGCGUACAAAGGUUUCCUCUGAACGGGUAGAAAUCGUAUCUAGAGUGUAAAGGCAUAAGGAAGCUUGACUGUGAGACCUACAAGUCGAGCAGGGACGAAAGUCGGUCUUAGUGAUCUGACGGUGCUGAGUGGAAAGGCCGUCACUCAACGGAUAAAAGUUACUCUAGGAUAACAGGCUGAUCUCCCCCAAGAGUUCACAUCGACGGGGAGGUUUGGCACCUCGGUGUCGGCUCAUCGCAUCCUGGGGCGGUAGUACGUCCCAAGGGUUGGGCUGUUCGCCCAUGAAAGCGGUACGCGAGCUGGGUUCAGAACGUCGUGAGACAGUUCGGUCCAUAUCCGGUGUAGGCGUUAGAAUAUUGAGAGGAGCCUUCUUUAGUACGAGAGGACCGAGAAGGACAUACCUCUGGUGUACCAGUUAUCGUGCCAUCGGUAAACGCUGGGUAGCUAUGUAUGGAGAGGAUAACCGCUGAAAGCAUCUAAGUGGGAAGCCCACCUCAAGAUAAGUAUUCU